CUUUUUCUUGCGCGUGCGUGCAGCUCCUUUACUCAGCCGCGGAGGUGGAGGGCGGGUGGGGCCUGUGGGCCCGAGGGUCCAUAGAUGACGUUAUCAGUUCAUAGGCAUUUAGUCUGGUGUUCGAGGAAAACAAGGGUGCAGCUUAAGCGAAAAGAAAAACGUCUUAUUGCUAGUGUCUAAACUCAUAACAGCAGAAUGUGUUUCCGACUAUGUGUAUUAUAUGGAUACACAUGUACUUAAAACAGCGCUGCCUGUGUGCAGAGCUCUUGCUGUAUGUCAACGCUUUACAGGAGUUAUCACACUUAAGCAUCAGAGCAACUUCAUGAGAUGUCCCAGAUGUAGAAAUACAAGUUCCCCAAAUGCAGGUCUGUGAAGUGUCAGACCUCAAGAUGGACAACAAGUGUUUAAUUAGAUACAGCAUCUAGUCUACCACUGAAAUCAUAAACCUAUACAACAUUUAUUGAAAUUUGUUGAAAUUGGACAGUGCUGUAAGUACUGAUUGAUGCAGGCAUGCUAAUGGCAACAAGAGUGAGAAAUGUGUCACAGAGACUGAAAAUUCAGAGUGAAAAUUCAAUAUCAUCACACACUGCAUUAGAAGAAAUGUUGAAGAAAGUUUUUCAGACGAAAGGCGAAUGAUACCAGAUGGAAAUAUAUAUUUACACAAAGAAAUGAUAAGGGGUCAGCCAAAAUGAAGAGAAUGUUUAAUCAAGACCUGAAAGAGUUCCAAAGCUAGAUCACCUCCUUUGAAAUUGCUCUGAAAUUCAUUUUACAAUCGAAGUUCCAUACACAGCCAUUUGAUCUUCACUGCAUUCCCUCAUUAGUUCAUAGUGUUUCAACCAGUUUCUACAUGAUGACUUUCAUAUGUGCAUCAACAAGCCCAACAGCUUAUCAAGAAAGCUUGAGUCCUCUAUGUUCUAGUGACAUCCCACUUAGAUCUGACAUUAAGUUCAUUUUUUUUCCUUUAAGCUACUUCUUCCAAUUUCUUGGCUAUUGUUGAUGACAAUUUUUUUAGACCUACAAGCUUACACUCUUAGGUUCAUUUCUUCACAUUUUUCCCUUCUCAUAGGUAAACCACUGUUAAACUUGUCACUUCUUAUAAUUAUUUCUUUAUAAUUUACUUCACAUGCCCUUUUCAUUCUUAAAAUGUUCAUUUAAUCCAAGCUCUUUAAUGUCAAAUUUGUAUUACAGCCUUUUGUUUUGUUUUGUAUUAUAUUGCAUUGUAUCACAGGCUCUUGGUAUUCUCCCUGGCGCCUACCCAGCCUUAUCUCCUCUCCUACCAGAUUAUACAGAGCAUAAAAUACUGUUUUUUUCAUCAAACACUUUGUAGAGAAGUGUUGCUGGGUGAAUAAGGAAAACCUGGUUAACUGAAAAAAGGGAAUUUAAAUGGGUCUCCUUUCCUUUCAGUGAUUCUAAGAAGAGCAGAACCUUCAGAAAUUAAUUCACAACUUAAGACAAAUACUGAAUAGAGGAUUAUUGCUAAGAAGAGACCAAUAGUAUAUGAUAAUAACCAUUGGAAAGAUAAAAGGAGACAUAAAAUUCAACUCCUGGUAGCCAUUCUUUCCCUUUUCGCUCUCUACAUACCUCAGCUGGGAAUCUAUAAAUGUGCAGUACUUGUUUGUUAUACUGGUCAUUAUUAAGUUAUCUAGGAGGCUAGGAGAGCAAUCUGUUCUGACUGUAGUGACGAAAGGAAUUCAAGUCACACCAAAUAUCUUUAUCCUGUUUAGAAACAUCCUAGCAUUUAAGGCCUCUUAGUUUAAGCCCAUUACAAGUUAUUUUCCUUUCUAUUUCAUUUUUCUCUACUCUCUUAUGUUCUGUGUUCUAUCAGAUAUCAUGUCUGAGAGAUGAACUGGCUAUUCCUGCUCUGCAAUAGUUUUAUAUAUUGCUUUAUCUCUUAGGGCCUUGAAUAGUGCCUAGCACAUAGUAAGCACUAAAUAAAUGUUUGAUGAAUGGUUAUCUUUUCUCUAUGGCAAUCCAAAUCCAUCGCUAUUUAAAAAAAAUUUUACAUGAGAUUUGCCUAUUCCAGUAAACUUCUAUCCAUUAUCAAUCUAGUUUUAAAUCACUUCACCCCCCUUAGCAAUUAUUUAUAGUUUGCAUUUCAUUACAUUUAUUAUGUUACUUUUUACAUACUUCCACAGCUUUCCUAUAUAUGUUGAAUUUUCAACUAAAAGAUAAUACCUCAAAUAUUAUAUACAGUACAUGUCUCAUGUGCUGCCGAAAGGCACUCAAUAGAUAGAUCAGCUACCUCCUUUUAGAUGUAUUCUCUGGAUCAGUGUGGCCCACACUUUUCAGUUUAGAUAAACAAGUUCUAACAUUUGCUAUUUCACUCAUAUAUUGAAACUUUGAGUAAAAUUGUUCCUUCAGUGUUUAGUUUUAAGACCAAUCAAGAAGUCUUAAUAAAGACUUCCUAAAGAAAAACAUUUUAAAGUUACAGAAGCAUCUAUAUGUUGGUAACGUUCCUCCAGAAAUAAUUAAUGUAAUAUGCAAGCUCUGGACUGGUCAAUUUGGACCUUUUCUUGGAAUCUCCAUAGAAAUGCCCAUGUAUCAGAGAACGAA